rnacentral:rRNA from 1 species
GACAGAGGGUGCAAACGUUGUUCGGAAUUACUGGGCGUAAAGCGCGUGUAGGCGGCUUGGCAAGUCGGGUGUGAAAGCCCUGGGCUCAACCCAGGAAGUGCACUCGAAACUGCUUCGCUUGAGUGUCGGAGAGGAAAGCGGAAUUCCGGGUGUAGCGGUGGAAUGCGUAGAGAUCCGGAAGAACACCGGUGGCGAAGGCGGCCUGCUGGGACAGUGCUGACGCUGAGGCGCGACAGCGUGGGGAGCAAACAGG